CAAUAGCGUAUAUUUAAGUUGCUGCAGUUAAAAAGCUCGUAGUUGGAUUUCGGGUGGGAAUGGCCGGUCCGCCGUUUCGGUGUGCACUUGCUACGCCCACCUUGCUGCCGGGGACGUGCUCUUGAGUUCACGCUCGGGACACGGAGUCGGCGAGGUUACUUUGAGUAAAUUAGAGUGUUCAAAGCAGGCCUACGCUCUGAAUACAUUAGCAUGGAAUAACACCAUAGGACUCCUGUCCUAUUUCGUUGGUCUCGGGACGGGAGUAAUGAUUAAGAGGAACAGUUGGGGGCAUUCGUAUUUCAUUGUCAGAGGUGAAAUUCUUGGAUUUAUGAAAGACGAACUUCUGCGAAAGCAUUUGCCAAGGAUGUUUUCAUUGA
rnacentral:rRNA from 1 species